GGGAUACCCAAAGCUUAUCUGCUCAGAUAAUGGUACCCACUUCGCCAACGCCCACCUUCAAGAGGUGGAAACAUACAUAGGACUCAAACAUAGAUUCGGCUCAGUAUAUCACCCCCAAUCGCAAGGCCUGGUGGAACGAGCAAACCAGACAAUCAAAAAUCAAUUAACAAAAAUACUCAGAAGCAACAGACUGGAGAAAUCUAGGGAGGAGGCAGAAACUCGAACCUUAGGACGCAUGCAGCCCCCAUGAAUUAGUCACAGGACGUCCCAUGCAAGGACCAUACAGCCCACCAUCCAAAGGACCCCCAUCAGACAGGUUUGAUGAAGUAAUGCAGGAAUACCUGCAAGCACUAACUCAAGCUUCUUUAAAG
ensembl:lncRNA